UGCUCUCUCUCUUGUCUUCCGGAAGCUCCUGCCACAGGUGGGAGAUGGCCGUGGAGACGAUGGGGAGCGUCACCUGCUCCGGGGAGACGACCCCGUUCUGGAUCAGGAGGCCCACCGUCUGCUUGUAAAAAUAGAGGUUGAAAGAUUCUGUGGGCAGGAAGAAGGGAAGAAGUUGGAAAUCAAUGCCACUGCCCAAAUGGGAAGCUUCUCCUCUAGAUGCGAAAGGUACCGGGGGAGAAUGCAAAGAAUUAAGAAAGCAAGAAACACGUAGCUUCAAAGUAAGGAACAUGAGCGCUGGAUCUCCUGAUUAAUCUCCAGCCUAUCAAAAGAUCUUCCUCUUCCCUCCACUAGCUGGCAAAGGGCUCCAGAGGAAUCAUUUGGCCCUUCAGCCACACCAAUCAUCCUGCCUUUACAUAGUGGCGGAGGACCCUUUGUUUCUCAUUUCAAGAAACGCUAACCAAUCUAUCCAGACUUAAAUUCUAGCUGAUUGAGAAGCAGGGCCAGGUUUGACCAUCAAGGGAGAGAAGGAGUACUCUGGGUCCUGAUUACCUUUCAUCUUCAGCAAGUUAUCCAAUGUUUUCUCCAGUUCCUGAAUGUGAUGCUUCGCCUUACGCAAAACCUGCCACUGAACACAAAGACAAAGCUGAAGCCCUUCCCUGACCACUCUGAGCAGGUUUGUGUCGCUAGAGGCCAAGAACUGUCCCAAUGGGCCCUUCUUUCCCACUCACUCCAGCCAGGCUUUGGGUGCAAGUGAUAGGAAUGGGCAAGAACGCCAAAGCACGAAUUCAACUACAAUGGGUUAAGACAUAAUAGAGUUCAUGUAAAUGGGUUUUAUAUGAAACACUAAAUACUUGGGUAAGCAGAGAUCAGCAUAAUGUUACUAGAGUGUUUUUUAGUGCUUUGUCAAAAUGCUGAGCUGAGAUCCACAAAUUAAAUGUUGAUGCCAACGUGGUCACUACAA